CACUUCGAGGCUCUUUUUCCUCCAUCUCUAAACUGGGGCCCUUGGGUGUCCCCAGGGGCAGGAGCAGGGCCAGCUGAGUGGAGUCUGAGUUGAGUGUGCCUGGCUGUGACUCUGCCGCCUGCCAGCCAGCACCCUCCGAAGAUAGAUCUGCUCUUGGGGGUGACCCACUAUCCACCUGCUUCCCCAGCUAGAGUGGAACGAAGGUAUUGGCAAAACUGCUGCGACCCAU